rnacentral:rRNA from 1 species
GAUGAACGCUAGCGAUAGGCCUAACACAUGCAAGUCGAGGGGCGUCACAUGAAGUAGCAAUACGGAUGGUGGCGACCGGCGCACGGGUGAGUAACACGUAUGCAACCUGCCUUCAACAAGGGGAUAACCCGUUGAAAAACGGACUAAUACCCUAUAAUACAGGGGUCCCGCAUGGGGAUAUUUGUUAAAGAUUGAUCGGUUGAAGAUGGGCAUGCGUUCCAUUAGCUGGUUGGUGAGGUAACGGCUCACCAAGGCAACGAUGGAUAGGGGAACUGAGAGGUUUAUCCCCCACACUGGUACUGAGACACGGACCAGACUCCUACGGGAGGCAGCAGUGAGGAAUAUUGGUCAAUGGACGCAAGUCUGAACCAGCCACGUCGCGUGAAGGAAGACGGCCCUACGGGUUGUAAACUGCUUUUGCAGGGGAAUAAAGUGAGCCACGUGUGGUUUUUGUAUGUACUCUGCGAAUAAGGAUCGGCUAACUCCGUGCCAGCAGCCGCGGU